GACGAACGCUGGCGGCGUGCUUAACACAUGCAAGUCGAACGGAAAGGCCCUGCUUUUGUGGGGUGCUCGAGUGGCGAACGGGUGAGUAACACGUGAGUAACCUGCCCUUGACUUUGGGAUAACUUCAGGAAACUGGGGCUAAUACCGGAUAGGAGCUCCUGCUGCAUGGUGGGGGUUGGAAAGUUUCGGCGGUUGGGGAUGGACUCGCGGCUUAUCAGCUUGUUGGUGGGGUAGUGGCUUACCAAGGCUUUGACGGGUAGCCGGCCUGAGAGGGUGACCGGCCACAUUGGGACUGAGAUACGGCCCAGACUCCUACGGGAGGCAGCAGUGGGGAAUAUUGCACAAUGGGCGGAAGCCUGAUGCAGCAACGCCGCGUGCGGGAUGACGGCCUUCGGGUUGUAAACCGCUUUCGCCUGUGACGAAGCGUGAGUGACGGUAAUGGGUAAAGAAGCACCGGCUAACUACGUGCCAGCAGCCGCGGUGAUACGUAGGGUGCGAGCGUUGUCCGGAUUUAUUGGGCGUAAAGGGCUCGUAGGUGGUUGAUCGCGUCGGAAGUGUAAUCUUGGGGCUUAACCCUGAGCGUGCUUUCGAUACGGGUUGACUUGAGGAAGGUAGGGGAGAAUGGAAUUCCUGGUGGAGCGGUGGAAUGCGCAGAUAUCAGGAGGAACACCAGUGGCGAAGGCGGUUCUCUGGGCCUUUCCUGACGCUGAGGAGCGAAAGCGUGGGGAGCGAACAGGCUUAGAUACCCUGGUAGUCCACGCUGUAAACGGUGGGUACUAGGUGUGGGGUCAUUCCACGGGUUCCGUGCCGUAGCUAACGCUUUAAGUACCCCGCCUGGGGAGUACGGCCGCAAGGCUAAAACUCAAAGGAAUUGACGGGGCCCCGCACAAGCGGCGGAGCAUGCGGAUUAAUUCGAUGCAACGCGUAGAACCUUACCUGGGUUUGACAUGGAUCGGGAGUGCUCAGAGAUGGGUGUGCCUCUUUUGGGGUCGGUUCACAGGUGGUGCAUGCCUGUCGUCAGCUCGUGUCGUGAGAUGUUGGGUUAAGUCCCGCAACGAGCGCAACCCUUGUUCACUGUUGCCAGCACGUUAUGGUGGGGACUCAGUGGAGACCGCCGGGGUCAACUCGGAGGAAGGUGGGGAUGACGUCAAGUCCUCAUGCCCCUUAUGUCCAGGGCUUCACGCAUGCUACAAUGGCUGGUACAGAGAGUGGCGAGCCUGUGAGGGUGAGCGAAUCUCGGAAAGCCGGUCUCAGUUCGGAUUGGGGUCUGCAACUCGACCUCAUGAAGUCGGAGUCGCUAGUAAUCGCAGAUCAGCAACGCUGCGGUGAAAACGUUCCCGGGGCU
rnacentral:rRNA from 1 species